rnacentral:rRNA from 1 species
CACGCCGUAAACGAUGGGUACUAGGUGUAGGAGGUAUCGACCCCUUCUGUGCCGCAGCUAACGCAUUAAGUACCCCGCCUGGGGAGUACGGCCGCAAGGUUGAAACUCAAAGGAAUUGACGGGGGCCCGCACAAGCGGUGGAGCAUGUGGUUUAAUUCGACGCAACGCGAAGAACCUUACCAGGGCUUGACAUCCUUUGAAUUCUGAUGAAAGUUGGAAGUGCCCCUUCGGGGGAGCAAAGAGACAGGUGG